UGAGUAACACGUAUCCAACCUGCCGUCUACUCUUGGACAGCCUUCUGAAAGGAAGAUUAAUACAAGAUGGCAUCAUGAGUUCACAUGUUCACAUGAUUAAGGGUAUUCCGGUAGACGAUGGGGAUGCGUUCCAUUAGAUAGUAGGCGGGGUAACGGCCCACCUAGUCUUCGAUGGAUAGGGGUUCUGAGAGGAAGGUCCCCCACAUUGGAACUGAGACACGGUCCAA
rnacentral:rRNA from 1 species